UACGUAGGGUGCGAGCGUUAAUCGGAAUUACUGGGCGUAAAGCGUGCGCAGGCGGCUAUUUAAGCUUGCUGUGAAAGCCCCGGGCUUAACCUGGGAACUGCAGUGAGGACUGGAUGGCUGGAGUGUGGCAGAGGGGGGUGGAAUUCCACGUGUAGCAGUGAAAUGCGUAGAGAUCGGGAGGAACAUCAGUGGCGAAGGCGGCCAUCUGGAUCAACACUGACGCUGAGGCACGAAAGCGUGGGGAGCAAACAGG
rnacentral:rRNA from 1 species